UACCCAAUUCGGCGAUAACUCCGCACUCGUUCGUCGGAUCGGCAAACCGUCUUCGCCGACGCGUUCCGAGACCUAGCAAUUAGGUUUAUGACCUAUUAAAAUAGAUCAAAACCCUAGAUUUCCCAAAAUCCCAAUCCGUGCCCUAGAAUGGCAACGGGGAAGAAAUCCGUGGUGCGAGCUUCAAUUGCGAGCUCGAACCUUCUAUUUAUCUCCUCUAGGUUCCAUUUGAACCAAUUCUAAGCAACAAAAUCCAACCCUAAAAAUUCUACCAUGAGUGGGUUUGGAGCUCACCUCUAAGCCAAGCUCAAAGCUUGCCCUAGCUUGAAGGAGAGAGGGAAGAAGACCUUCUUCCUCUUCUUCUUGGACUUCUCCUUCCUCUUCUUCUUUUCUUUCUGUAAUAUACUGAAUCUGGGCCUAUUGACAAGUUCAAGGGUUGCAAUGGCUAUUGGAACUGAGCUACGACGUUUGAUAGACCUUAGAAAGGUUUUGACACGUUACUGAAGUAAGAAAGUAACUGGAAUUGGAAAAUUGCAUCGUAAAUGCCUUAUCAAUUGCAAUGCUUCGAAAUUGGUUAAUUGCGAAGUUCGAAUGCGGGAAAUGGUAAGUGGAACUACCCUACAUCCUCUAAAGGGCUUAGACAAGUUUUUGGACAAGUUAGAGAGUGAUUGAAGGGUUAAAAGCAAGAAAGUGCAUUGAAUGGACGAAAUCAGCAUUUUUUUCUGCUUGCUGUACCGGUACAGCCAUUACCUUGUACCGGUACAGACUGGCAGAAACGUGGCAGCAAGGGUUUUUGGUCAUUUCACAUCUUAAUCCCUAUCUACUUGACCCAGCACGACCUGGGAUGCUCAGUGAAGGUUGCUUGAGUUCAGAGAAGCUUCUUUCACCUUCUCUCUUUCUCUCUCUCUAGGGUUUUUCUCUCUCUAGAGAAAAGCCGCCGAUUCGCGCCGUUUUCGCGCCGCGCUCGUUGUUUGCUGAUUGGAGGACUCAAGGGAAGUCUUUGGCACGUGGGGAGAAGGAGUUUUGCUGUGUUUUCUGGGAGGUUACUACCAGGGGAAGCUGAUUCUCAGCUUUAGAGAGGUAUUCAACUCGAUUUCUCUCUAGUUUCCGGUUUAGUAUUGAUUUUGGACGCCGUUUAGUCUCGCUGCCUCCAACUGAGCUAGAACUUGUUUAUAGCAGUUAAGAGAAGUUAUUUUGACUGUGAAUUACCUACUUUAGCUCAGAGGAAAGUUGUUUUAAAGCUUGAUAAAGAUAAGUAGUGAAUUAUGACUCUAAUUCAAGCUAUAUACGGAUUUAUCGAGCGAAUUGAUGCAGUUUGAACCUUUCUCUUCGCAGCAGGUUUGCGAAUCAUAUUAGGCUAUUUUAGUGGCCUUGGGGGCUGGUUUAGAAGGUGUUGCAACCAGGGGUAAGUUGAAUUUUCAGUUCGGAAACUAAAUUCGCGAACUUUUGAUUAUAUUAACUUGUAUCUAAGCGUUUUGAUGCCGUUUUGGCGAUUGUUCGCAGCGAGCUUGCGAUUGACCUUCGGAUUAUCUCCGGCUGUGAUGUGAGAGCUUUUGGCGGCUAAACUUGAGGUAUUGAACUGAGCCCAAACAGGAAUUUAAGUUAUUACUUUGUACUACGUACAAUGUGUGCCGAAAUUGGACAUUUCGGUCGUAGCUUGAUGCGCCUUCCGUGUUUUGUUUUCAGCAGAGUUGGGGCUCCGCUGAGCUGAGUUCGGGACUUCUAUUGGCUGGAUUGAGCUUGGGGAUAGGUGGGUCGGACCUUCCCAAAAUGGGUGAAUUCCCUCUAUGUCUCCUUUGACAUCUGAGUUGAAGUUAUUCCUUAUUCAUGUGAAUAUAUGUAUAGUUCAUGCAACAUGCAUUGAAGUGUAGAUCACAUCAGAUAUGAUAAACAGUAAUGAAAGAUUCGUGACUUGUUCACUCUAUAUGGUUACAUGUUGUUAAAGUACUACGUGUUCAUGAUAUUAGUAGCUUGCAUAUGCAGUGUUAGCUUGAUGUUAUCCAAAAAAAGGAGAUAAUGAUAAAGUCGUAAAUGGACUAAUUAGCUCUGUUAAACAACAAUGAGAUUGAUGCAUUUAGGAUUGGGCUAUGCACUGUUAUAUAGCAAGUAUGAUUGCUAUACUCUGAAAGAUCAGGUAAAGGCCUUUGAUUGCAUAUGUAUUUUUAAUUGUAGAAGGAAUGGCAUAGAGAUCAUGUGAAGAGUAGUUUAUCGCUUAUGCUUUCACAUGAUAGACUUGUAUUAUGAUAUAUGUUCAAGUAAGUAAUUAGAAUCUCAUAAGAUGGCACGACUUGGAUGAUUAUUCAACUGAGUAUAAUCUAGUAAAUAACUAGAUUUGGAUCUGAUAACAUACUUGUAUAGUCAAGUAGAGAUUUAUAUUGGACUACAGGAUAUGUGCCAUGAGUCUUUGAUCAGAACAUUAGUAAACCACUUUCCUUAUGUGUAAGGGGUAGUGAGAGAUUGUGAAUAACUGACCAGGUAUAGCCUGAUAGAAUCACUAGCGUGAUGUGAAGCCGUAACUUGUCAAGUUAUACUAAUUAUUGGUAGAAUCAUAUCAACAAGUUGUUGAUAGUGACUUAUGAUUGGGUACUACAGUGUCGACCUUGGGUCGAGUUGAGAUUCCAUGUCAGAGACAUGAUGCUGUUGAGAUAUUUGUACCCUGGACUAUAGCCAGCAUGCCAUUAUGCUCUUUCGUACAUGCUUGCGGGGGUCGCGCCCCCCCAAGCCCCGCGUUCCGGAGUGGCUUGAGUUGAGAUUCCAUGUCAGGGACAUGAUGUUGUUGUGAGACUGGUACUGUGGACUACGGCUUGCAUGCCAUUGUGCGCGUUCGCACACGCUUGCGGGGUCGCUCCCCCCCAAGCCAGCACUCCCGAACAGCUUAGCGACAGAUGCUCGCAAAUGUACGAAGUGAGCGCCGAAAUGGAAUGCCGUGGGGGAGGCUCAUUCCUAGAGUGGGGAUGUUGACUACCACGGGGCCAUUAGGCACGGCGCGGCUCGAACUUACCUUGUGUAAGUCCGUUGGAAAUUGGGUUAUGUCAAGUACUUUAACCUUAGCUGGACAGAGUAGUAAAGUUACUAUAUGUCUUGGGUUAAGUAAACCUAUUGAUGAAUAGACUAGAAGGUUGACAUCUAAAGUGAGCUUAGUACUGAAUGACCUAGAAGUUGACAUCAUGAUUGGUUAGCGACAUAAAGAAAGUUUCAUUCUUGCUAAUGUAGAAAGUAAUUACAUGAUAUUAUCUGUAAUUCCAGUAAUAAUGAAUUAGCUUGCUUGCAAUCUGGUAUAUGUUUGGUUAAAUUGUCAAGGAAUAUGAUUGAUGGAAUCUAUCAUGAUAAUUGAUACCUGCAAUCUGUUGAUGUACAUUUAUUGUUGAGCAAAUAGCAUGAGUAGUCUACUUUCAUAUCUGUUGCAUGUAAUUGCUUAUUGUAUUAUCUGCAUUUACUUGGUUAUUUAUUGCUUUCUACUCAUGCCACAGUUGACCCAGUGGUGUAUUUCGCCACUCUCGGCGGCUUACCCACUGGGAACUAUUGUUUAAUAGUUCUCACGCCCUCUUUGUUGUUGUUUUUACAGAGCCUUCCACCGCGGGAAAUGCUAGGGUUCUUGGCAAGGGGUCUGCGGCUAACUAGAGCCUUUUUGGACGUGUACUAGAUGACCUCCACCAGUUUAUGUAGUUUAGUACAGAGAUGUAUAUUAAGUUUUUGUAAAUUGUACUGUAUUCUUAUUUCCUGUAGUAAGGUUUGGAUUGUAUAAGUUUAACUUACAAGUCUUGCUCUGAUUACCUGGCUAGAAUUAUAUGCUUUUACUAUAUGGUUUGUAGACGCCUUGUGUAUACUUGAGUUGUGGUGUACACGGCGGGUCUGUGCACGCGACCGGAUAUGCUUCCGCUGGUACCCGGGCGUGACACUUUCCUUUCUUUCUUCUUCUUCUUCUUCCCCUUCGUUUCUUUCUAGAGAGAGAGAGGGAAAGAGUGUGAAAGAGGGAGAGAGAGAGAGCAGCUGAGAGGGAAGGAGAGGGGUCCCCCACCUCUAAUAAGGCCAUUUUGCAACUAGCCCCCUCAACUUUUCAUCUUCUGAUUCAGCCCUCUCUGGGCAUUUUCGCAGCGAGGGACCGGUCCCAGUUCGGGAAGACCGGUCCCCGAAGGCUGCCCUUUCGAGCAGAGGGGAUUUCGCGUUCGGGAACCGGUCCUUACCUGAGAGACCGGUCCCCGGGAGACCGGUCCUUGUCCGAGAGACCGGUUCCCGAGAGCUGCAUCCUCGGGACUUAGCCAAAUUUGGCUAAGUCUCGCCGGGCCAACGUUCGGGAACCAGUCCCUGCCCACCAGGGACCGGUCUCAUCAGAGACCUCCACAACCCAGCCUGAUGGGACCGGUCCCUCCCUGCCAGGGACCGGUCCCCGAGAGCAUUUCUGCUCCAGUGCAAGUUUUGCACUGGUGCUCUCGCGGACCUCUCCUUAAUGCACUUUAUGCAUUAUAAACACCUUCGGACUUCCCGAAGCCUACUCACUCGACGAAUAGUCGAUUCUGGUCGAAGUCUAAUCCUCGAGUUUCGAGAAUUCACUUCCUUACAUCCUUCCCACCUUACAAGAGUUUCGUCCUCGAAACGACUCAACACUACCAAUUUAAUUAGAAUUUCAA
rnacentral:lncRNA from 1 species